rnacentral:rRNA from 1 species
UACGAAGGGGGCUAGCGUUGCUCGGAAUCACUGGGCGUAAAGCGCACGUAGGCGGAUUGCUAAGUCACACGUGAAAUCCCUCGGCUCAACCGGGGAACUGCGUGUGAGACUGGAUGGCUUGAGUUUGGGAGAGGAAUGCGGAAUUCCAGGUGUAGCGGUGAAAUGCGUAGAUAGUCUGGAGGAACACCGGUGGCGAAGGCGGCACUCGUGGACCAAUACUGACGCUGAGGAGCGAAAGCCAGGGGAGCAAAGCGGG